UGGGGGAUAUUGCACAAUGGGCGAAAGCCUGAUGCAGCGACGCCGCGUGGGGGAUGAAGGCCUUCGGGUUGUAAACCUCUUUUGCUCUGAACAAGGCAUGCCUUUGGGGUGAGUUGCGUGUAGGGGUUGCUUAGCGCCGGCUAACUACGUGCCAGCAGCCGCGGUAUUGCGUAGGGUGCGAGCGUUGUCCGGAAUUAUUGGGCGUAAAGGGCUUGUAGGUGGCUGGUUGCGUCUGUCGUGAAAGCUCAUGGCUUAACUGUGGGUUUGCGGUGGGGACGGGCUGGGUUGAGUGCAGGAGGGGAGGCGGGAAUACCUGGUGUAGCGGUGGAAUGCGCAGAUAUCAGGAGGGAAACAGGUGGCGAAGGCGGGGCUCUGGGGUGUUACUGACGCUGAGGAGCGAAAGAGUGGGGAGAGAACAGG
rnacentral:rRNA from 1 species